rnacentral:rRNA from 1 species
UACGGGGGGAGCAAGCGUUGUUCGGAUUUACUGGGCGUAAAGGGCGCGUAGGCGGCCAGCACAAGUCAGUUGUGAAAUCUCCGAGCUUAACUCGGAAAGGUCAACUGAUACUGUGCGGCUAGAGUGCAGAAGGGGCAACUGGAAUUCUUGGUGUAGCGGUGAAAUGCGUAGAUAUCAAGAGGAACACCUGCGGCGAAGGCGGGUUGCUGGGCCGACACUGACGCUGAAGCGACGGAAAGCCAGGGGAGCGAACGGG